AGAUGGCGACCGGCGCGCGGGUGAGUAACACGUAUCCAACCUGCCGAUAACUCGGGGAUAGCCUUUCGAAAGAAAGAUUAAUACCCGAUGGUAUAAUCAGACCGCAUGGUCUUGUUAUUAAAGAAUUUCGGUUAUCGAUGGGGAUGCGUUCCAUUAGGCAGUUGGUGAGGUAACGGCUCACCAAACCUUCGAUGGAUAGGGGUUCUGAGAGGAAGGUCCCCCACAUUGGAACUGAGGCACGGUCCAA
rnacentral:rRNA from 1 species